GAUGAACGCUAGCUACAGGCUUAACACAUGCAAGUCGUGGGGCAUCAUGAUGUAGUAAUACAUUGAUGGCGACCGGCGCACGGGUGAGUAACGCGUAUCCAACCUACCCUCCACUCAAGUAUAGGCUUCCGAAAGGGAGAUUAAUCCUUGAUAUCGUCAUUCUCUCUCCUGUUAGAAUGAUAAAAGGACAUCGUUUCGGUAGAGGAUGGGGAUGCGUUCCAUUAGGUAGUAGGCGGUUUAACAGGCCACCUAGCCGAUGAUGGAUAGGGGUUCUGAGAGGAAUAUCCCCCACACUGGUACUGAGAUACGGACCAGACUCCUACGGGAGGCAGCAGUGAGGAAUAUUGGUCAAUGGGCGCAAGCCUGAACCAGCCAUGUAGCGUGAAGGAUGACGGUUUUUUUGAUUGUAAACUUCUUUUCUGUGC
rnacentral:rRNA from 1 species